rnacentral:rRNA from 1 species
GAUGAACGCUGGCGGCGUGCCUAAUACAUGCAAGUCGAGCGAACAGACGAGGAGCUUGCUCCUCUGACGUUAGCGGCGGACGGGUGAGUAACACGUGGAUAACCUACCUAUAAGACUGGGAUAACUUCGGGAAACCGGAGCUAAUACCGGAUAAUAUAUUGAACCGCAUGGUUCAAUAGUGAAAGACGGUUUUGCUGUCACUUAUAGAUGGAUCCGCGCCGCAUUAGCUAGUUGGUAAGGUAACGGCUUACCAAGGCAACGAUGCGUAGCCGACCUGAGAGGGUGAUCGGCCACACUGGAACUGAGACACGGUCCAGACUCCUACGGGAGGCAGCAGUGGGAAUCUUCCGCAAUGGGCGAAAGCCUGACGGAGCAACGCCGCGUGAGUGAUGAAGGUCUUCGGAUCGUAAAACUCUGUUAUUAGGGAAGAACAAAUGUGUAAGUAACUAUGCACGUCUUGACGGUACCUAAUCAGAAAGCCACGGCUAACUACGUG